CCUACGUGAGGCAGCAGUGAGGAAUAUUGGUCAAUGGUCGGGAGACUGAACCAGCCAAGCCGCGUGAGGGAUGAAGGUACAGAGUAUCGUAAACCUCUUUUGUCAGGGAACAAAGGCGGGGACGUGUCCCCGGAUGAGUGUACCUGAAGAAAAAGCAUCGGCUAACUCGGUGCCAGCAGCCGCGGUAAUAGGGGGGGUGCGAGCGUUAUCCGGAUUUCUUGGUUUUAAGGGGUGCGAAGGCGGUCUGUUAAGUCAGCGGUCAAAGCCCGGGGCCCAACCCCGGCCCGCCGUUGAAACUGGCAGUCUCGAGUUGGAGAGAAGUAUGCGGAAUGCGCGGUGUAGCGGUGAAAUGCAUAGAUAUCGCGCAGAACUCCGAUUGCGAAGGCAGCAUGCCGGCUCCACACUGACGCUGAGGCACGAAAGCGUGGGUAUCGAACAGGAUUAGAUACCCUUGUAGUC
rnacentral:rRNA from 1 species